CGCAGCAGGCGCGAAAACUUUACAAUGCGGGCAACCGUGAUAAGGGAACCUCGAGUGCCUGUAUAUGCAGGCUGUCCAGGUGUCUAAAGCACACCUGAAGAAAGGGCCGGGCAAGACCGGUGCCAGCCGCCGCGGUAAUACCGGCGGCUCGAGUGGUGGCCACUUUUAUUGGGCUUAAAGCGUUCGUAGCUGGGUUGUUAAGUCUCUUGGGAAAUCCGACGGCUCAACCGUCGGGCGUCUAAGGGAUACUGGCAAUCUUGGAACCGGGAGAGGUGAGGGGUACUUCGGGGGUAGGAGUGAAAUCCUGUAAUCCUCGAGGGACCACCUGUGGCGAAGGCGCCUCACCAGAACGGCUUCGACAGUGAGGGACGAAAGCUGGGGGAGCAAACCGGAUUAGAUACCCGGGUAGUCCCAGCCGUAAACGAUGCGCGUUAGGUGUAUCGACGACCACGAGUCGUCGAGGUGCCGAAGGGAAACCGUGAAACGUGCCGCCUGGGAAGUACGGUCGCAAGGCUGAAACUUAAAGGAAUUGGCGGGGGAGCACCACAACAGGUGGAGCCUGCGGUUU
rnacentral:rRNA from 1 species